rnacentral:lncRNA from 7 species
AAACGCACACCCGUAUCCUUCCCUGCACACAUUGAGCGAUUCUCCUCCUGCCUGACUGCAGCACCACUGUGCUCAGCCCCACGAAAUGGGGGUCUGCAGGAGGGGACCUCCAGUCCUGGCUGGAGCUGGGGAUGUGCUGCUCGGCUGCGUGCUGCUGGUGAUGGCUGGGGGUCUGCAGAGCUGCCAUGCCUCCGUGGUGCUGAAGGGGAAGCAGGGACAGCCACUGUCCUUUCCGGAGCUGCGCCCCGUGGCUGAGGACAUCGUGAGGAUCACCUGGAUGUCUGAAAGGCACGGCACACACAUUGCCGAGGCCAAGCCUAGGGUGAAGGAGUUUGCAGUGGGUUUCCUGCCUGAAUUCCAAGACCGGCUGCGAAUCCAUCCCCAGGUACUGUCGCUGGAGAUCACAGAGCUGCGCAGCACAGAUAUAGGCCGGUACUCUGCAGUGGUGGACACCGCCUCCAAGCCCAGCAGCCCCAGUACAUUUUCCUACCUUGUGGUUCUCGAUCACCCCCCUGGGACAACUGACAGCGACACAGGAGGACACAGCAGGAGCACAUCUGGUGGCCUCUGUGUUUGGCCCACUGGUGGUGCUGCUAGUGGCUGUGCACGUGGUGACCAGGCAUUGAGACUGGGAGAUGAGUGGGACCCACACUGGGUUCCAGAGGGACAAGAGUGGGGUCUGAGCCCACCCAGAACAACCCCACAGUUCUCCCAUGAUCACUGCGUUCAACCAGACAGGAAAAGCCACAUUCACCACAUUCAGUGAAGCCUUGUGAGGGCAUGAAAUGCAUUUCCUCAUCUCUUGUACAAGCCCCAAACCCAGUGGCACUACUUCCUCCCAGUGGCCACACAAACCCCACUGUAUCCCAGCACUCCCAGUCCGGGAUCUCCUCCUUUAUGGGGUCAGCACUGAAUUCGUACCCACAGCCCUGAAUUUGGUGUGAGGUAACAAUUCAGCAUCUCAUCCAACCUUCCACAGUUUAUAAGAAGUGAAUUAUUUACUGGUGACCCCAACUAAACGCUGCACGGCAUAAAUUAUGGACGGGCAGAUCUGUCAAAAAGUUCUCAUAAAUAAGUGAUCCGGUG